rnacentral:lncRNA from 1 species
UACAAUCCUAAAGAAACGCGUUCUGACGGCCCCUUCCAGGAGAUUCUGAAUGUAAACAAUUUUUUUUUUUUUUUUUAAGAGACAGGGUUUUGCUUUGUUGCCCAGACUGGAGUGCAGUGCUGCGAUCACAGCUCACUGCAGCCUCAAACUCCUGGGCUCAUGUGAUCCUCCCACCUUAGCCUCCCUAGUAGAUGGAACUACAGGCACGUGCCACUAUGCCCAGCUAAUUUUUAAAAUUUCUUUAUAGAGACGGGGUUUCACCAUCUUGCCCAGGCUAGUUUCAAACUCCUGGGCUCAAAUGAUACACCUGCCUUGGCCUCCCAAAUUGCUGGGAUAACAGGUGUGAAUUUUUUCACACAGUGAAAUUCACUUAGAAUAGACAUAAACACUCCCGAGGUGGUGUUAGGAGAAGGCAAGAGGCAUUAGAUGGGAAAAGCGUCUGUUAAUUGGAAUGUAAGCACCGGCCCUUCUGCAGCACCAGUGGUCGUUGAGUGUGGAGGUCUCUGAACACACCAGAAGCCCUGGGACACUGAGGGAGUCUCCAAGGGCGUGGGUCCGUGGGAGCGUGGGACUGGAGAACACAGGAAGCACAGACAGCAACAGUCUCUCUUCCCAGGGAGGUGAGAGCCCCGCCUUGGACGUGGCACUGUCUGAUAGGUGGAAUCACAGAACUAUGACAUUGGUUUUUAAAUGAAUGGGCCAAGAAGUGACCCUCUUAAAGGAAUGGGGUCAGGGUAAAACACGAGACAAUUAUCUUUGCCAUUCUUCUGUUUGAAGACCACCUCUAGGCAUGGAGCCUCCACGGGGAGAUGAAGGGGGUAGACUGCCAGAUCAAGGACACACGGACAGGGAGGAGGAGCCACAGUCCCCAGGAUUCCCCUCAACAGAAUGACAGCUGCCCAGGAGAAAAGCUGCCUGAAGCUUAGAAAUGAGACAUGGGGGUCAGCCAUUCCUCUGAACUAACACAAAUGGCAAGAUGCCAAACAUACUGCAACCUCUAAGCUAGUGGUUCUCCUGCUCUAGAGGGCAUCAGAACCCACUGGAAGGUCUGUUACAGCAGAUAAC